GGAACCUGCCACCACAGAGCCUCACCCACAUUCAGCAUUAGCAGGGCAGCCCCACUGGGCACCCCAGGCUGCUGUACUGAUGGUCCUACCUGCACAUUUCAACUCAUCCUCCCUGGAUGGCUACACAGAAGGUGUGAUUUAUGGCGUUAUUUGACAACUGCUCAUUGGACAGAUCUUGAAUUUACUGAGACAAUCUCUAUGACUCCUACUUGGGAAGAUCCACUACCUGCUCAUACUGCUGCAACAGCCUGCAUCCAGUCGGUUCUAAGAGUAAUCCUGCUGCUCCCAAUGUGAACCACACAGUGACACCGUUUGUGCUUCUGUCCAAGGGCUGACUCACUCCACUCACUUCCACCCUGACUGACCUAGCCUCAUUUCGUCUGGAAGAGUCAAGCUGCACUUUAGGGGAGAAAUAUUAUGCCCAUUAUACACAUAUAACGACUGAGGCAGUUCUUCCAAGUCACCACCACUAGCAAAGCAAGAGCACAAUCCUGUCUUCUAACAUUGGUACUACAUCAAAUGACAAUUUCUGCCAUUUCCUAAAAGCACAUAAGCUCUGGAAACUAUUUUAUUACAGCAAUCACCUCUAGAAAUUUGCAGUAUCACUUUAUCACCCAGAAAGCUCAUUUUGGGAGGAAAAAAAUAUGCAGUUAUAUACAUUUUUUCCUAGCCCCAUUUUUUGUGAUUUCUCAGAUCAGAGUGCCAAUCAAGUAUUAUUCUCCUUCUUCCUGCUGAGACCACAACACAAGGUGGUUAUUUAUUACCUGCUGAAAAUUCUAAAAAGGGGCACUAAAAUUUACAGUUUUAUAUAGUACAGCUCUAUAGAUAAAGGACUUCUGAUGAUGCUAUAAUUUUCUGAAUUCUGGUCAAGGAUUUUCAGUUAAUAUUCUUCAAUACUACCCUGUAAACCCAUAUAGCUACAUUGUUAAAUCAAUGUAUACAAUUAUCAUUUGGAUUUUCUAUCUCGACUUGCAAUAAGAACUGCAUUUCCGAAGCUAUUUAUCAGCACCUUGAUCAUGCCAUAAAGAUGAUUUCUUCCUUCCUAAUCGUGUUUUUGUUCCUUUCUGUGCUGAGCAAAAUACAGCAAAGGGUCAAAUGUCUAUAUGCUUUCUUUCCAGCAAAUUGAAUACUAUAACCUAAUUUCCUGGUUCUUGAAAAGUACACAGUGGUGGAAACUGGGGGACACAAUGCUCCCCAGGUCCCUACUGUAAUGCCCAGCAUUACAGCAGCAAGGGAGAGCUGCAGACAACUUCCUAAUACAUCCUUCCAGGAGAAGCUUUUCCAAUUAAAGCCAGCAGUAGAGCCCAACCAGUAAAAGCUGUAAGUUCUUCCAAAAUAUUCCCACUCUGCUCUUGACACUGCCUUUUACAGGAAGAAAUGAUCCUCUUUCACCAAGUUUCCACCAAUUACAGGCAAAUCUAAAAAGCACUGAAAGCCAGCAAAUGCUUUUCAGACCUUAGAAAAUCCAAGCCUUCCUACAACAUUUCUGACAUCUUCCCACUCUACCCUAAAUCACAUUUACAUGGCUCAUUCUUCUAUUUAACACUUCCCACAACUUGAGUCCUUCCUGUCUUCACUUCCUUUUCCCUCCCUUUCCUGCAAACCUCAUUACUUUCGUGCUUAGCUCACAGAGUUUUCACAACGCCCAUGCGAUAUUUUUUCCCCAACUGAUCACUUCUUGAAGUCAGCUCUCAGCCUUCUGGAGACAGACGCUCCCCUCCUGACUGCACAGCAGGGCAGAUUACCACAGGACAGCAUGCUGCACCUCUGAUUUCUUUUGUAAUAAGCACAGCUCCUCUUUCUGCGUGGGCAUCACAAGGCUUGUUUGCAAUCCAGCUGCUGCCUCCCACAGCUGCAGGAUUUGCCGGACCAUUCCCUCUUAAGCAGCAGCUGCUGCAGCUUUCCGUGAGCUCAAAAAGCUGCUCUUGGGGAAAUGAUGCUCUCCCUCCCCGCGGCAGCCCUGCCCGGCACCGCUCCUUGGCAGCCAGGAGGAGCAGCCGCGAUCCGGCUCUGUGCUGAGCAGGGUGACCCUCCCAGUCAUGGGGGUAACAUUUUGCUGUCUCGAGUGGCCUCUCCCGAGAGCUCAGAAGCGCAUUGAAAAGACUCUCGCCAGAGGGAGGAUCGGGUUUGUGCUGGCCAUUGCUCCCGCUGAACUUGGUUGCAGCUACAUUCCCCUUUCCCCCGACUUGCACAUCUUGCAGAACUAUCUUUCCUCUCCAAGCUCGACAUCAAGGUUCAUGUAAUUGCAUGUAAGCAUAUGCACAUGAUUGUAUAUGCUUGUGUUACUCCAAAAAGAUUUGCAUAGCAAAGCCUGCAAAAUGAGAAAACACCAGUAUUAAAGGAAGCAGGUGUGUUUCAGCAGCUUGUUGUGGGCAUGUGAGGAGACAGUCACAUGUGCCUGCAGACUUCACCAGAGCAUAUUGUGCCAACCCUCCACUUCCUCUAAAAUCAAAAUCACCUCCGGAGCUCUUCUCACCAUGCCCGAGUUCUUCCCAAGUAUUCCUCCAUUCAUGACAAAAUAUAUUUGGCAACUGUGGAAACCCAGGGCACCGGGAAUAUUUCUUUGUCUGCUCUGGGGUGCCCUGACCCCCAGGGGAGCACUGACUUUGACCCUCAUUCAUGGAGAAAGUUUCCUAGACUUCAAGAUAGACUGGAAUCCACAAAGGUGUGAAAUAGAUUAUAGAGAGUAGUGUAGGUGUAUCACUUGGUGAGAAAUUUAGGUUUUGGGAUUUUUAGUAUGUUGUGGAUGGAAGCAAGAUGGAGGGCACAGGGUGUCAUCCUGGGUUUCUUCUUCAGGCUUCCUACUUCUUCAUGGGUUUGGGUGGCAUUGUGUAAUUGGGCAGAAUAGUCUGCACCAUGGGCUCUUUGGGAUCAGUUAUCGGGUUAAAAGGGAAAAUAAUCUAGGUGUUAGUUCUUAAUUGAUUAGUUUGGUCUUAAAAGACCUUGUAACAAGAGAUUGUUAGCCAUUUUGUGCCUUGCUGCCAAACUCAUGGUUGUGAGACUGUUUUACUGAUAAGAAAUAAUAAACACCUGAGUCCAAACAUGAAACUACCUUCUAAAGUGCCUUCAAUCCAGACCCAGAGAAACCGAUAGACAACACUGUUACAACCUUUCUCAAAACCAAGGAAACGGGGCAUGUGUUACACAUGGUAACACACAAAUUAAGCACAGGGCAUUCAACAUCCUCAGCUGCAGGAUCUUUCUUUUCCUUCCUUCUGCACUGGAUACUGGUCCAGAAGCCAGAGUGCUGCAGUUAUGAACCAGCUCUGGUUCAGCACCACUGCUCAUGGUGUGCACUGACCAAACAACAGAAGAUUUCUUGGGAAAGAUCUUGUCCCAGAAUACAAGCUUUUGAGUGCCUCAUUCCAACGCACAAAGUGCAUGAUUGACAGGCAGCAAAGAGGGACCUUUUAGUAACAGAUCACCGUGAUUUACAUGCUCACUAGAAGCAACAACAUGAGGAACUUUGAAAUCCAACAUUUCCCGAGUCUGCUUAUGCAACUUGCAUACUUUGCUAAUCAUGUCUCCAAAGUUUUGCUGAGCGAAGUGUAUUGUCCCUGUGCCCUGUAGCUGUGAGAUCCUGCUGAGCAGAGCAACCUUGCAGCUCCGUGAGGCAGCAGCAGCCAGGCUGGCUCAGCCUCUGGAGAUCCCACUGCUGCACAGACUUCUGAUGAGGGAGACAAUCUUCUGGUUUGAUUUUUAAUUGAAAAACUGUAAUUGUAGCAACAUCAGGCCCCAACUUGCAUAAUGAAUAGAGUGUGGACCACUGAAAUCUAUAGCACAGACUACUCCUACUUCACCUAAUUAAGUAACAUCUCACAGUUAGGAGCUUUUCCAUAUGCAUAUGUAAAGCCUGCUAAUGAAAAGGGAAAGGAAACGAACUUGUGUUGUUGUUAGGCUGCAGGAACUUAGGAAGCUGCUGAAAAGUCUGGUAGGGCAUUUAGCUUUGUGGUUAUAGCCUGAUUGGUUUUGCUUUUAAGCCUAAAUUGUGGGGGGGUUUGUUUGUUUGGUUUGUCAAAACAGUUUGAGUUUUUUGUUUUGUUUUGGUUUUGUUUAAUUUUCCUCUCUUACCAUUUGUUUUGCUGCAGUUAUACUUUUAUAGGAAAUUCCCUAUCCUUUAGUAAUUUUGAUCACCUUUUUCUGCUAUUCUAUGUUGUUCUAUAGUGAUGUUUUUCCUUUUCCACUUUCUCCUGCAUCCUUACCACCACUGAGAGUAGCAAGUGUAUGGGUAAGUGUGCACAUGCUUCAGAUUUACAUCCAGCUCUGCAGAACCCUGGAAAUAAUUAUUCUGAGAAAAAUUCUGUUCAUCCUCCACAGCAAUUGUGUGGAACACAGGAACUUGCCCAGUUUCUGUCACACAGUCCAGCCACUAAGCAGUUAUGAGAGGAGGUGUCUAGCACAGGUUUUUCAAAGACCAUAAAUUUCUGAGAGUGUGGAAGUGUUUCAAGGAACAGCUUCUGUGGAAGAAGUUUUGAGGACUUAUCCCUUUGGUGUCUCUUCCUGAGAAUGGCAACAAGUACUCCUGAGACCUCCAUCUGCUAAAGUCACUAUUCCAAAAUGUGGAGGUGGUAAGAUUUUGAAUUGAGUAUUGCAAUAUUUUUAGCAUAGACAAAAAAAAAAAUUGUGAUCAUUGCCUCAUAAGAGACUAAACUGCUUUCCAAGUAGAACUUCUUCAGUACUGAAAUUGAGGUGGAUAAAACUGUGGAAAAGUUUUCCCUAGACAGAUACAAUUUUAGGAGAAAAAGUGAGCACCUGAGCAUAUGAUCUUACCAAGGGAAGAUUCAAAAAUUACAGUCUUGAAUAUUGGUAGUGCAAGUAGCUCCACCUAGGAUAGGUACAAAAAUACAGAUGGGCACAUUCUUCCUAAGUGACUACAUAAUUAUAACAUCGCUUUUGUCAUCUUGUUUCUUUUCCUUCCUAGUUGGUGCUAUUGUUAUCUGCUGCAUAGUUGGCACGAUGACUCAGAUGAUAGAAUUAUGCUGGAAAUAAUAUAUACGUGGAACACUGAGGCCCAAGAAUGCAAAUUCUUCUGGGCAAACAAUCUAGAGUUUAGGGCUUUUUUGUAUUUAUUCUGUCAAGCACUAGAGUGUUAUGUCUAAGAAUAGAAGUUUUGUAUUUGAACUACUUAAACUACUUCAAGAAUAGAAGUUUUGUAUUUGAACUACUGCUUUUAAGCUGAACCUCAAAACAAAUUGUGCUUUAGUUCAAGGUUUGAACUUGCUGUUGAAAAGAAAAUCAACAGUGCAAUUUUCUUUAUCAUGAGCAACUACAUCUACCUAUGGCUUUGAGUGUAUUAUAAGAAGCUUAACAGAGUCUCAAACAACUGGAGUUUUCCACUGUAGUUUUUGUCCUCAUUUGCUCUGGUAAUCAUUCAAGCUUAGCAACAUUGGUUGAAUUCAGAUACAGGUCAACUGUAUUCUGAUGAAGUUCAAGGAAAUGGGUGCAGCUGAUUGAGCAAUACCAUAAAAAAUUAUAGAGAAAAAAAUAUGAUGCCUCUCCUGAUCAAUGCAAUCAUAUUUUGCUUUUCAUCUGAUUCAGUACCAGGUUUCUAUAUAUGGAUUAAACUAUCUUUCUAAAAGUUAUAGUAAUUUGCCUUAUUGGAAAGUCUUUUGUUGAGAAAUAUUCUCUGUGAUGCUAGAUACAUAUGUCACCUCUUUUCUGCAAGUAAACAGAUAAAAUUCAGUAUUUUUGACUAAUCACCUUGUAUAAAGUAAUUUUCAUUUGUUUAUAAUGUACCUGCAGCAUGACAAUAAAAUUGGAGUUAAAAAUCGCCAAAUUUGUGACUAUUACAUUAAUAGUAAUGGAACAUGAGACAGGCUUAUAGGAAUCAGGCCAAUUGUUAGUGUAAAGCCAUGCAUACAGAAACAACUGUUUUGAAGUGACCAGGACCUUGCUAUCAGUCCUGACUGAUAGGAAAUGCUCAGAGCUUAACUGUGGAAAAAAUAGUUAUAUUCUAUUUAUUUCAAUGCAGACUUGAAUCAGCUAAAAUCACAAGUCAUUGAAACAGGCUGGCAUUUUUUUUUCUUUUUGUGAUAAACAUUAUGAUAGACUCUGAAAGCUAGAGAAGGCAGGAUAAUAGCAGCAGGCUGUACCAAUCUACUGUUUCGCACUGAACAGCUCCUUGCUGCUUGAGUAGUCUCCCUGAAAUGUGUAUUGAAUGUUAGGGGGCACUCAAAGAAAAGGAAGCAGAAACUGGCCUUAAGAAACUCCUGUAGGAUGCAUUCACUGUCAUUCUGUUCUAGACUGCUGGCACCUUCUGGAGAGGCUCCAUCAUAUCUGAUGACUGGUGGAGUACAGAGCAUGUAAUGAAGUCAUAUUUGAUCAUCACUUAUUAAAACAGCUGUCUGAGGUCAUAAAUACAACGAGCUGUUUUCAUCACCAGGAGCACUCCCAGAAGUGUGAAGGUGAUGAUUAACAUUGCAUCUCUAGUUCUGCUUAUAUCUUCAACCUUGUGGCAGAUGCUUGUCUCUGGGGUUGUUUAAAAGCCAUCAGAAAAUGUCUUAAUCACUCAUGACCCCUGCAAGAACUUUGGUGGCUUCCACAUCGAUCUGACAUAAGGAGUGCUCCUGAGGCAAACGUGAAGACAGGCUUUUUUUAUUGAUUAGCCAGAUUGUCUAGCCUUCCUGUUUUGUCUCCUCAUUGGCAAUUAAGAGAGAAAUCCAUUGAGGGAGUGGUGGCAGUGAACCUUCCCCUCUGAUACUUUAACCAGGACUCUUAGUUAAUUUGAGAAAUUGUUCUGUAUCGACCUCACUUUGAAGCAGGAUUUCAUCCUAUGGCCCCAUCAGUAAUACAUAUACAUCUUCCUCUUAGGAAGCAGGCUUCUUCUAACUCUAGCAUCUUUUGUUUCUUAUUUACAAUCCAAAUCCUAUCAUUGAUUCCAGUAAUCUUUCCUGCACCAUGAGCUGUCAUUUCCUUGAGGGGAAACCUGGGUGGGUUUGGUGUUUUUU